GCACGCCGCGGUAACGACCGGCGGCCCGGAGUGGGGAUCGUGAUUAUUGGGUCUAAGGGUCCGUAGCCGGUUUGGUCAGUCCUCCGGGAAAUCUGAUAGCUCAACUAUUAGGCUUUCGGGGGAUACUGCCAGACUUGGAACCGGGAGAGGUAAGAGGUACUACAGGGGUAGGAGUGAAAUCUUUGUAAUCCCUGUGGGACCACCUGUGGCGAAGGCGUCUUACCAGAACGGGUUCGACGGUGAGGGACGAAAGCUGGGGGGCACGAACCGGAUUAGAUACCCGGGUAGUCCCAGCCGUAAACGAUGCUCGCUAGGUGUCAGGCAUGGCGCGACCGUGUCUGGUGCCGCAGGGAAGCCGUGAAGCGAGCCACCUGGGAAGUACGGCCGCAAGGCUGAAACUUAAAGGAAUUGGCGGGGGAGCACAACAACGGGUGGAGCCCUGCGGUUUAAUUGGACUCAACGCCGGACAACUCACCGGGGGCGACAGCAAUAUGUAGGCCAAGCUGAAGACUUUGCCUGAAUCGCUGAGAAGAGGUGCAUGG
rnacentral:rRNA from 1 species